rnacentral:rRNA from 1 species
UGCGCAGGCGGAAUGAUAAGUCAGUGGUGAAAGCCUACAGCUUAACUGUAGAAAUGCCAUUGAUACUGUCGUUCUUGAGUACAGUUGAAGUGGGCGGAAUGUGUCAUGUAGCGGUGAAAUGCAUAGAUAUGACACAGAACACCGAUAGCGAAGGCAGCUCACUAAGCUGAAACUGACGCUCAGGCACGAAAGCGUGGGGAGCAAACAGGAUUAGAUACCCUGGUAGUC